rnacentral:rRNA from 1 species
AUGGACGAGCUCGACCUCUCGGAUCCCCAGGUGGAGAAGCUCUUUGAGGAGACUCAUUUCGUCAGUGUCACCUGGCGAUCUAACUGGCUAUUCCUACCCAGCAUGCCUGCAUUCGGCUCUACCAAGGAGGACCAGGAGCAGGAGGACAUGGCCGAUGGGGUCGAACUGCACAUUGCUGCAAAAAAGACGGCGAGAGAGAGGGAUGAGAGCAAGAUGAAGAAAAAUAAGGGGGUGAAACUGAAGAAAGGAGUGUGGACGUGCAGGAGGAACGACGGCAAGGGUUGGUUCUGCCGGCGGCUCACGAGAGAGCCUAACUCCUACUGCUCGUACCACUCUGAUCUGAAGCUGAAGCCCCCCGACAGCGAGAAGCCACAUAGGAAGAGGGCCCCGGUCAACGUCGGCGAGGGGAUAUACUACUAUGCGGGGUUCGGCCCCGGCACCAAGAGGCGCCGCACGUCAAGCAGCGACAGCGUGCCACAACCUCCACUGCUUGCUGAACCACUGAAGGAGGAGAACCGAGACUGA